AGGUGAGGAGAGACAGACAUGAUGAGACAGGUGAAGAGAGACAGACAUGAUGAGACAGGUGAAGAGAGACAGGUAGAAUGAGGUGGUUGUGGUUUUGGGUCAGUUAAUCCAGGCACAGAGAGACAGGUGAAGCGACAGUUAAUGCAGUGGUUCCCAAGGUGGGGUUGCGCCCCCUAGUGGGGGCCAGUUUAAUUGUAAGAGGGCCGUAGUGUAAAUUAAUUGAAUAAAUGACUCAUUUUGUGAGUUAUUUUAUAAAAUAAAAAAAAUGUUUGAUAGUAACAGAAUUCAGCAUUUCUAAGGAAAAUAAACAGUUAAACUGAAAAUAAUUACACUUUAAUUGUAUCGUUUUGUGAUUUAAAGGAGAUUGCAGUUUAUUUUAUUGUAAUAUGUGAUUUUCUUCAUCUUUUUUUGUUCAACUGCUGAAAAGGUUAGUCAUGUGGUGGGGGUGGGGGUGGG